rnacentral:rRNA from 1 species
UACGAAGGGGGCUAGCGUUGCUCGGAAUUACUGGGCGUAAAGGGUGCGUAGGCGGGGCUUUAAGUCAGGGGUGAAAUCCUGGGGCUCAACUCCAGAACUGCCUUUGAUACUGAGGAUCUUGAGUUCGGGAGAGGUGAGUGGAACUGCGAGUGUAGAGGUGAAAUUCGUAGAUAUUCGCAAGAACACCAGUGGCGAAGGCGGCUCACUGGCCCGAUACUGACGCUGAGGCACGAAAGCGUGGGGAGCAAACAGG